GUCGUACAGGUUUCCGUAGGUGAACCUGCGGAAGGAUCAUUAAAGAGUAAGGGUGCUCAGCGCCCGACCUCCAACCCUUUGUUGUUAAAACUACCUUGUUGCUUUGGCGGGACCGCUCGGUCUCGAGCCGCUGGGGAUUCGUCCCAGGCGAGCGCCCGCCAGAGUUAAACCAAACUCUUGUUAUUUAACCGGUCGUCUGAGUUAAAAUUUUGAAUAAAUCAAAACUUUCAACAACGGAUCCCUUGGUUCUCGCAUCGAUGAAGAACGCAGCGAAAUGCGAUAAGUAAUGUGAAUUGCAGAAUUCAGUGAAUCAUCGAAUCUUUGAACGCACAUUGCGCCCCUUGGUAUUCCGAGGGGCAUGCCUGUUCGAGCGUCAUUACACCACUCAAGCUAUGCUUGGUAUUGGGCGUCGUCCUUAGUUGGGCGCGGCUUAAAGACCUCGGCGAGGCCACUCCGGCUUUAGGCGUAGUAGAAUUUAUUCGAACGUCUGUCAAAGGAGAGGAACUCUGCCGACUGAAACCUUUAUUUUUCUAGGUUGACCUCGGAUCAGGUAGGGAUACCCGCUGAACUUA
rnacentral:rRNA from 1 species